GGUGGCCGGCCGUUGGACGGGUCUCUUGUCAAUCCGGUCAGGUCCGAAAGGAAGCAGCCGUAGCAAGUUCGAUUUGGGUCAUCGGUUCGGUCACCCAC
rnacentral:SRP_RNA from 1 species